GACGAACGCUGGCGGCGUGCUUAACACAUGCAAGUCGAACGGAAAGGCCCCUUUGGGGGUACUCGAGUGGCGAACGGGUGAGUAACACGUGAGUAACCUGCCCUUGACUUCGGGAUAACUUCAGGAAACUGGGGCUAAUACCGGAUAGGAAUCCUUGCUGCAUGGUGGGGGUUGGAAAGCUUCGGCGGUUUUGGAUGGACUCGCGGCUUAUCAGCUUGUUGGUGGGGUAGUGGCUUACCAAGGCUUUGACGGGUAGCCGGCGUGAGAGGGCGACCGGCCACAUUGGGACUGAGAUUCGGCCCAGACUCCUACGGGAGGCAGCAGUGGGGAAUAUUGCACAAUGGGCGGAAGCCUGAUGCAGCACCGCCGCGUGCGGGAUGACGGCCUUCGGGUUGUAAACCGCUUUCAGCAGGGGCGAAGCUUGUGGUGACGGUACCUGCAGAAGAAGCACCGGCUAACUACGUG
rnacentral:rRNA from 1 species